rnacentral:lncRNA from 1 species
AAAGGAAAGAUAGACUUGAAUCAGAAGAGAAAAAUCUAAGCUGUUGCAUCAAGCAAUCUCGGCCGUUCAUUAUAAGGAAAGAGAUAAUUGUAAGAGAAGAUUUCAGAAUUUGGUUGAGAUUUUGUAGGAUUCAGAUUCGAAUUUCAAAAACUAUAAAUACUUCCGAGAAAGACUCUAGAAAGAGACUAGAUAGGAAGUUCUAACGUUCAAUAAAUUUGGAUAGUCUUAGUUCGAGAGCAAGUUAAGUAUUUUGGCAAAUCUAGUUUCUUCUUCCGAUAAGUCUCUUUAGAGCAUUUGGCUAUAACUCAGAUUAUUAGCUGAAAUCGCAAUCUUACAGAGUGCAAAAAGUCUUACCGAAUCAAUCCAUUCCGAGGAUCCAAAAUUCGACCAGUUCGAAGUUGUCGAAUGUAACAUCCUUUAGGCGGUCAAGUUUCAGGAAGAAUCCAAGCCGAAUCGCUUGUGUUUUCAUCUAUUGUAAUUUUCCAGCAAUUAAUAAAGUU